rnacentral:rRNA from 1 species
UUCCGGUUGAUCCCGCCGGAGGCGACCGCUUUGGGAGUUCGAUUAAGCCAUGCGAGUCGUGAGUCUUAGGGACUCGGCAUACUGCUCAGUAACACGUGGAUAACCUGCCCUAUCGUCUGGAAUAACCUCGGGAAACUGAGAAUAAGGCCGGAUAGUUCACAAUGCCUGGAACGGUUUGUGAAUCAAGGUAGGAUGGGUCUGCGGCGUAUCAGGUUGUAGGGGGUGUAAAGGACCCCCUAGCCUUCGACGCGUACGGGUGUUGGGAGACAUAGCCCGGAGAUGGAUUCUGAGACACGAAUCCAGACCCUACGGGGUGCAGCAGGCGCGAAAACUUCACACUGCAGGAAACUGUGAUGAGGGAACUCCUAGUGCAUGCACUAUGUGUAUGUAGAUCCUACUCUUAACAAGUAGAGGGAAAGGGCUGGGAAAGACCGGUGCCAGCCGCCGCGGUAAUACCGGCAGCUCAAGUGGUCGUCGCUUUUAUUGGGCCUAAAACGUCCGUAGCCUGUUUGGUAAAUCUGUGGGUAAAUCAAUCCGCUCAACGGAUUGAAUUCUGCAGAGACUGCCAGACUAGGGACCGGGAGAGGUGUGGGGUACUCGAGGGGUAGGGGUAAAAUCCUGUCAUCCUUCGAGGACCACCAGUUGCGAAGGCGCCACACUGGAACGGAUCCGACGGUCAGGGACGAAGCCUAGGGGCACGAACCGGAUUAGAUACCCGGGUAGUCCUAGGUGUAAACGCUGUGAACUUGGUGUCGGGGGUCCGCAAGGGGUCCCCGGUGCCGGAGUGAAGAUGUUAAGUUCACUGCCUGGGGAGUACGGUCGCAAGGCUGAAACUUAAAGGAAUUGGCGGGGCAGCAC